rnacentral:rRNA from 1 species
UACGUAGGCAGCAAGCGUUGUUCGGAGUUACUGGGCGUAAAGGGUGUGUAGGCGGUUGGAUAAGUGUGGUGUGAAAUCUCCCAGCUUAACUGGGAGGGUGCGCUACAAACUGUCUGACUAGAGUGUGGGAUGGGUAAGUGGAAUUCCUGGUGUAGCGGUGAAAUGCGUAGAUAUCAGGAGGAACACCGGUGGUGUAGACGGCUUACUGGACCAUAACUGACGCUGAGACACGAAAGCGUGGGUAGCAAACAGG